AGUGAACGCUGGCGGUAUGCUUAACACAUGCAAGUCGAACGGCAGCACAGUAAUAUCUUGCUCUUACCGGUGGCGAGUCGCGGACGGGUGAGGAAUACAUCGGAAUCUACUUUUUCGUGUGGGUUAACGUAGGGAAACUUACUCUAAUACCGCAUACGACCUACGGGUGAAAGCAGGGGAUCUUCUGACCUUGCGCGAUUGAAUGAGCCGAUGUCGGAUUAGCUAGUUGGCGGGUUAAAGGCCCACCAAGGCGGCGAUCCGUAGCUGGUGUGAGAGGAUGAUAGCCGACACGGGAGCGGGGACAGGGUCCAUGCUCCUACGGGAGGCCGCAGAGGGGUACGUUGGACAGCAGGCGCGAACAUGACCCAACGAGACGGAGUGGGUGACGAAGGCCUUGGGGUUGUAAAGCCCGUUUGUUGGGAAAGAACAGCAGCAGGUUAAGACCAAGCUGUUGUGACGGUACCCAAAGAAUAAGCACCGGCUAACUUCGUG
rnacentral:rRNA from 1 species